rnacentral:lncRNA from 1 species
CGUAGAUGCAAUACCAGCAAGAAUCUCCCUCGGUAUACUUACAGUCCUUACUAUUUCUUCAAACGGUAAUAUGAGUGUCUCGAUGGCUCAGCGUGUGUCCUACAUACGGGCUAUUGAUAUUUGGAAUUCUGUGUGUUUGAUCCUUGUGUUUUGUGCCGUUAUGGAGUAUGCAUAUGUUUGCGUGUCAGUUAGAGUGCAUCAAAGGAGAAAAUCUGGAACAUCGUCUAGCGAUAUCGAAAUCUGUAACAACAACAAACACAUGAAGGUAUGUAACAUUAGCGAUACCAAUUUCAAUGCACUAGAUGCGCAAUUAGGUAAUACAUGUCUUUUCUAUCAUAUCCAAGGCCAAAGUACUAUAAACCUAUUGUUUCUAUAUUUAUGAUGUUGUCGUUCACUUUUAAAGCAAAUUCGAAAAGCCAAAAAAAGUGAUUUAUUAUAGUUUUAAAAUAUAAGGACUGAUAAAGAUAUUUCCUGAUGUAAUAUAUGAUACAUUAGCCUACAAGGGAUGGAUAAUGAAAAGUACUAAAAAUAAAAAUUACAGAUACUAUUUUUGGUAAUAUGGUUUAAACAACUAGAAUCUAUAUCACAUGUUGGUGGAUUGUUCAUUUCAUAUUUUCCAGAGAUGUUAUUGAAACCAUAUGAAGGCCAUCCAGAAGUUUUGUAUAAAAUCACUAUUGUUGAACAGAAACUGAUACAAUGGUAUUAAUAACUUAUUCUCUCAGACUUUCAUGUCGUAAAUCAAAAAUGAUACCCACCUUUGUCUUCCAUGUGUCAUUAAUUUUUAUAUUGAUGAUUUUUUUUUUUUUUUUGUAGCAUGGAUUUCAGACCGAAAAACAAAGUGAACGUUCAUAUGAUCAGCUGAAAAGGGAAACAGC